GACUUAUAAUUAGUAUACAAUUUUGAUUGUGAAAUCUCAGACAUUCCUCGAGCAAGUACGAGCUAUAAAAAAGCUUGUCAGUUGACUGACACAGUGUGAGUGAAAUGAAUUUUUCUUUAAUACAGUCGUCGAUGAUUUGAUGCGAAAGAAAAAAAUGGUAAUAAUGCUCGAAACAGAUUCGAAUUAGAACACAUCGGUGCAGCGGAGACAGGUAUAUUUCAAACUUCUUCAAAAGUGGCCUCGUCGCUCGGAAUUUGGUCGAAAAUGUGUAGGUGAAUCUAACACACAUUUGUUCAUCUGGCGUCAUGGAUGAGUUUGAAUGGCGGAUGAAGAAAAUCUUUAUAUGUCGUGCGCAGAGCCAUUCCGGCCACCUUGCAAUGUCACAAUCGAAAUCAAAUGUCACAUCGCAUAAAUAGGCUGCAGCCUUGCCAAAUGGGUUUCUAAUGUAACACAGCUAAUCGUUUGGCUAUGGUAAUCUUUCAGCAGCUAAAAUCGCUAUUGAAAAAAUUUCCAACUCCUGUCGAUUUGAAUAGAACCAAAUUUUCUGCUAUGCUAUACACAUAAUAAUGACAAAUAAUUUUACUUACAACGAUAAAAUGAUCGAUUGAUGAUGCAAUAAUAACAAUUACCACUAGUGAGUAAAUUAUACGCUCUUUCAAAAUGGAAACAUUUUCUAUCCCACCACACAAUUUAAACUGCAUGUACAUUAUUCAUUUGCUAAGAUUGAUUUGGAAAUAUACUAGUCAUCCUCGUGACGAUAAGCGUAGUUACUUUUAGAUGCGUGUCUUGAAA